AUCCAACUGAAGAGUCCCACUUAACUAUUGAGUCUUGAUAACUACUUGUUUGUGCAAGUCCCGGAGUCAACAUCAACUCUGAGAUGUGGGCACAUCCAACUGAUAGGUCCCAAAUAGGACGAAACACGCGUCAAAUUGAAU
rnacentral:hammerhead_ribozyme from 1 species